rnacentral:tRNA from 1 species
GACCACGUAGCUCAGUUGGUAGAGCACUGGACUAGUAUCCCAAAGGUCGCGGGUUCGAUUCCCACCGCGGUCA